rnacentral:rRNA from 1 species
CGAGCGGAUGAAGGGAGCUUGCUCCUGGAUUCAGCGGCGGACGGGUGAGUAAUGCUUAGGAAUCUGCCUAUUAGUGGGGGACAACAUUUCGAAAGGGAUGCUAAUACCGCAUACGCCCUACGGGGGAAAGCAGGGGAUCUUCGGACCUUGCGCUAAUAGAUGAGCCUAAGUCAGAUUAGCUAGUUGGUGGGGUAAAGGCCUACCAAGGCGACGAUCUGUAGCGGGUCUGAGAGGAUGAUCCGCCACACUGGGACUGAGACACGGCCCAGACUCCUACGGGAGGCAGCAGUGGGGAAUAUUGGACAAUGGGGGGAACCCUGAUCCAGCCAUGCCGCGUGUGUGAAGAAGGCCUUUUGGUUGUAAAGCACUUUAAGCGAGGAGGAGGCUCUUCUAGUUAAUACCUAGGAUGAGUGGACGUUACUCGCAGAAUAAGCACCGGCUAACUCUGUGCCAGCAGCCGCGGUAAUACAGAGGGUGCGAGCGUUAAUCGGAUUUACUGGGCGUAAAGCGUACGUAGGCGGCUUUUUAAGUCGGAUGUGAAAUCCCUGAGCUUAACUUAGGAAUUGCAUUCGAUACUGGGAAGCUAGAGUAUGGGAGAGGAUGGUAGAAUUCCAGGUGUAGCGGUGAAAUGCGUAGAGAUCUGGAGGAAUACCGAUGGCGAAGGCAGCCAUCUGGCCUAAUACUGACGCUGAGGUACGAAAGCAUGGGGAGCAAACAGGAUUAGAUACCCUGGUAGUCCAUGCCGUAAACGAUGUCUACUAGCCGUUGGGGCCUUUGAGGCUUUAGUGGCGCAGCUAACGCGAUAAGUAGACGCUGGGGAGUACGGUCGCAGACUAAAACUCAAUGAAUUGACGGGGGCCCGCACAAGCGGUGGAGCAUGUGGUUUAAUUCGAUGCAACGCGAAGAACCUUACCUGGUCUUGACAUAGUAAGAACUUUCCAGAGAUGGAUUGGUGCCUUCGGGAACUUACAUACAGGUGCAUCAUGGCUGUCCUCAGCUCGUGUCGUGAGAUGUUGGGUUAAGUCCCGCAACGAGCGCAACCCUUUUCCUUAUUUGCCAGCGGUUCGGCCGGGAACUUUAAGGAUACUGCCAGUGACAAACUGGAGGAAGGCGGGGACGACGUCAAGUCAUCAUGGCCCUUACGACCAGGGCUACACACGUGCUACAAUGGUCGGUACAAAGGGUUGCUACCUCGCGAGAGGAUGCUAAUCUCAAAAAGCCGAUCGUAGUCCGGAUUGGAGUCUGCAACUCGACUCCAUGAAGUCGGAAUCGCUAGUAAUCGCGGAUCAGAAUGCCGCGGUGAAUACGUUCCCGGGCCUUGUACACACCGCCCGUCACACCAUGGGAGUUUGUUGCACCAGAAGUAGGUAGUCUAACCGCAAGGAGG